GGAGAAAGACUGUAGCUCAGUGGUGGAGCAUCAAUAUUGCACAUGGAAGGUCCCAGCCCAGGUUCAAUUCCUGCCAUCUCUA